rnacentral:rRNA from 1 species
UACGUAGGGCGCAAGCGUUAUCCGGAAUUAUUGGGCGUAAAGAGCUCGUAGGCGGUUUGUCGCGUCUGCCGUGAAAGUCCGGGGCUCAACUCCGGAUCUGCGGUGGGUACGGGCAGACUAGAGUGCGGUAGGGGAGACUGGAAUUCCUGGUGUAGCGGUGAAAUGCGCAGAUAUCAGGAGGAACACCGGUGGCGAAGGCGGGUCUCUGGGCAGUAACUGACGCUGAGGCGCGAAAGCGUGGGGAGCGAACAGG